CUCACUAGUGAUAAUCCUUUAACUAAAAUGCCAGAAGGAAGAAUCAAGUCUAGGUAGUAUUUAACGGUACCUCUACAUAGUAGCAGAUUAUCAGACAAUGUGUUGGAAAUUGUAUCAAUGGUACGGUUUGGUCGCCAGUUUAUCAGUUUCUAAAGCAUAUAUUCGGUGUUUGGAGAAAAGUGUUGAGAAUUGCGAGAUUUUUAUUGUUUUUUAAUUCCGUGUAAUCAGAUCAUCCAACAAAUAUGAUCCGAUUAGAACGAUGUUGAUGCGGAUGUGAACUUCGAACCGGAACUAUUGUCUUUUUGGUUUUGAAAGCUAUAUUUGCUGUUUACCAGUUGCAUUCGGUGUAUCUCGGUUUUAAGGCACAUGAUAUGGAUAUUACAAGAAUAGAAACAUAUCGAUGUACUCUUUUUUUUUCGAUGUACCUACCUCAGUCUUAUGUCAGUCACCUGCAAGUUAAAUGAAUUUCUCUCUUUGACACCUUUAUUUUUACAGACUACAAUAUACUUUACUCGUUGAUUAGCGGUGUUGUUAUGAUAAUCGCAUGUUGUACAAGAAUCAGAGUAAUCUCAAAGGACAGAGCAAAAUUUCUAGUGCCUUUCAUCUGCUGCCAAUCCAUAAUGCUGUUCUUUUACGUGGCAUUUUCAUAUUAUGGUUUUUGUUCAACGAAUCUUUGUAUAUUACCGAUCUUCUCAACGAAUUAGCCAAAUUUGUAUUAGAUGAUUACACUCAACGUGUCAUUAACAAAUUCCUCGCCCGCGAACCAUUCAUAUUCACCGCUGUUAUGUUUCUAUUAUUAGGUGGGUACUUAUUAUUUAGGUAUUACUUACUUACUCAGUAGGUACUUCAUUACCUGGUUCGAGUUAAUUACAGUUGAAAUAAGUAUCUACAGUAUGUCUGAAAAAUUUGUUCCGAAAAUUCUAAUGACUUUCUACUGGAAUUGUAUUUUUUAGAAUUUUUAAUUGAGAACUUUCGAAAAUAUUUUUAA